CCUACGGGCGGCUGCAGUGGGGAAUAUUGCACAAUGGGCGCAAGCCUGAUGGAGCCAUGCCGCGUGUGUGAAGAAGGCCUUCGGGUUGUAAAGCACUUUCAGCGGGGAGGAAGGCGGUGAGGUUAAUAACCUCAUCGAUUGACGUUACCCGCAGAAGAAGCACCGGCUAACUCCGUGCCAGCAGCCGCGGUAAUACGGAGGGUGCAAGCGUUAAUCGGAAUUACUGGGCGUAAAGCGCACGCAGGCGGUCUGUCAAGUCGGAUGUGAAAUCCCCGGGCUCAACCUGGGAACUGCAUUCGAAACUGGCAGGCUAGAGUCUUGUAGAGGGGGGUAGAAUUCCAGGUGUAGCGGUGAAAUGCGUAGAGAUCUGGAGGAAUACCGGUGGCGAAGGCGGCCCCCUGGACAAAGACUGACGCUCAGGUGCGAAAGCGUGGGGAGCAAACAGGAUUAGAUACCCCAGUAGUC
rnacentral:rRNA from 1 species